AUUGAACGCUGGCGGCAGGCUUAACACAUGCAAGUCGAGCGGGGUGAUGGUGCUUGCACUAUCACUUAGCGGCGGACGGGUGAGUAAUGCUUAGGAAUCUGCCUAUUAGUGGGGGACAACAUCUCGAAAGGGAUGCUAAUACCGCAUACGUACUACGGGAGAAAGCAGGGGAUCACUUGUGCCCUUGCGCUAAUAGAUGAGCCUAAGUCGGAUUAGCUAGUUGGUGGGGUAAAGGCCUACCAAGGCGACGGUCUGUAGCGGGUCUGAGAGGAGGAUCCGCCAAACUGGGACUGGGACACGGCCCAGACUCCUACGGGGGGCAGCAGUGGGGAAUAUUGGACAAUGGGGGGAACCCUGAUCCAGCCAUGCCGCGUGUGUGAAGAAGGCCUUAUGGUUGUAAAGCACUUUAAGCGAGGAGGAGGCUCUUUUGGUUAAUACCCAAGAUGAGUGGACGUUACUCGCAGAAUAAGCACCGGCUAACUCUGUGCCAGCCGCCGCCGUAA
rnacentral:rRNA from 1 species